rnacentral:rRNA from 1 species
GAGUUUGAUCCUGGCUCAGGAUGAACGCUGGCGGCGUGCUUAACACAUGCAAGUUGAACGGACUCAUAUUGAAACCUAGUGAUGUAUGAGUUAGUGGCGGACGGGUGAGUAACGCGUGGAGAACCUGCCGUAUACUGGGGGAUAACACUUAGAAAUAGGUGCUAAUACCGCAUAAGCGCACAGCUUCGCAUGAAGCAGUGUGAAAAACUCCGGUGGUAUACGAUGGAUCCGCGUCUGAUUAGCUAGUUGGUGGGGUAAAGGCCCACCAAGGCGACGAUCAGUAGCCGGCCUGAGAGGGUGAACGGCCACAUUGGGACUGAGACACGGCCCAAACUCCUACGGGAGGCAGCAGUGGGGAAUAUUGCACAAUGGGGGAAACCCUGAUGCAGCGACGCCGCGUGAGUGAAGAAGUAUUUCGGUACGUAAAGCUCUAUCAGCAGGGAAGAAAAUGACGGUACCUGACUAAGAAGCCCCGGCUAACUACGUGCCAGCAGCCG